rnacentral:lncRNA from 1 species
AGAAGAGGAGGAGGAGAAGGAAGAAGAAAAGGAGAAAGAAGAAAUAUAAAUAUAAGCAGUGGAGGUAGGACAUAGAAGAAUAAGAUACAAAACAAUACGCUAACAUUUUGAAAAUGCAGUGGACUCAUCAAUUUUCUUGGCAAGUAUAAGUUAUCAAAAUUGACUCCAGGUAACAAACAUCAGUAGCCAUCUUAAAACUUAAAGAAGUUAUUAUAUCAAGCCACCAAGACUAGAACUCUUGAAAAGAAAUCACAUUUGGAAGAAAGAUAAUGAAUUUUUAAAGCUUUUGCUUAUAUGGUCUUCAUAAAAUAUCCAAUGAUUAGUGAAAUGGAAAGAUGAGACAUAAGAAAUAACUAUAGCUAUAAAUAUAGAAUUGGGAGUUGAUCACUAUACAAUAAAAAGGACAUUGCUAGUAUGCAUUAGCAAACAUUGGUGGACAAAAUAAAAGAGUGUUGCUUCCUCCUGUCAUCUUCUGUCCAUCCUCACACUUGCUCACAGGUGUGCGACAAGGAGCACAGCGCCCUGCCAGAUCUGAUUGAUUUUCCUUCAUUUCCUUCUCAACGUGUUUCUUCAAGAUUAGUGGAUACCUCAUUAUUGAAAAUUGAGAGAGAAAAGAUUAUUGAACAAAUGAAGCAAGUAAAGGAAGAACGGAAAUAUCUGGAAAAUAUUAGAGAAGAACUAAUUAAAAAAGUUGAAAAGCUGUUUGAACAAAGUAAAUCAAAACGAUAUCAUGGUAAAGUUUAUCACCCAGAUUUUGUAACUAUAAAUGAAACUAAUCCUAAGUUAUACAAGGUGAUACUUACAGCAUAAACAAUAGAAUUGUAAUUAAUAUUUACUGUUUCACUUGUUACAGUUUAAGUAAUACUUGGUUGACAUUAAUUCAAUAUAGAAAACACAGUCAUUCAACUUUUAUACAUGUUUUGC